rnacentral:lncRNA from 1 species
AGAAUAGGAAAACACAAGUUCCAAGCUACAUUGCAAGCAAUUCUUUUCUUUAGAUUUAUAAGAACUCAAGCUUUCUAGCAAUUCUUCUAGCACCUCCAACCACACCCUUAAACUGAAACUUUAAAAACUUUUUAUUUUCUUUGUAUACAAUCUUUCUUUUUCUUUUUCUUUUCUUCUCUUUUCUCUUUUUUUUUUUUUUUAAAUACAAACAUGAAAUACCCCCACACUUAUUCUUUUGCCAAACACCUUCAAAGUACUUCAUAAACGUUUCUCAUAAGACAAUCUCGCAUUGCUCGCUUGGAAAGGGUAAGGAAAAAUGUUUCAGGUAUAAGGGUAGACAUAUCUGGUGAUAAGAAAUAAAAAGGCUCAACAUACACGGCUCAAAUUGGCAAUCUAAUGAUAUCAUUUUUCUUUGGGAAACAUGGUUAUUUGGGCCAUAGUGAUAAACCUAAUGCCUCUAUCAUUUCCAAGUUCAUGCAAUCAAGACAAACAUUUCGAAAGAUCGUUACGCAAGUUCUAGAGAUGUAUCUCACAUAAGUUCAUCACACAUAAAAAAAAAAGGAGUGUAUGAAAAAUGCACACACUUUCAAUAGGCUCAAAAACUCACAUAGGAUGUAUAUGGUCACUAAAUUCACAUAUGAAGCUUUAAGUCAUGCUUUAGUUUCACAUCAAUAAGGCUAUGUGCAUUUGGUUUUUCAAAGAUGAUCAAACAUGUACAAAACUAACAAGAGAAUUAGGAAUUUCACAAAACACAUGUUAAC